UACGAAGGGGGCUAGCGUUGCUCGGAAUCACUGGGCGUAAAGCGCACGUAGGCGGAUUGUUAAGUCAGGGGUGAAAUCCUGGAGCUCAACUCCAGAACUGCCUUUGAUACUGGCGAUCUUGAGUCCGGGAGAGGGGAGUGGAACUGCGAGUGUAGAGGUGAAAAUUCGUAGAUAUUCGCAAGAACACCAGUGGCGAAGGCGGCUCACUGGCCCGGUACUGACGCUGAGGUGCGAAAGCGUGGGGAGCAAACAGG
rnacentral:rRNA from 1 species